GAUGGGAGGUACCAGUUUGUCUCAGUACAAAUGCUAGGAAGUGGGUCCAGUAGGCUAAGCACCUGUUACUCAGCUUCUGGAAGUGUUGCCGAGUCCCUUUCAGAUGAAAACUUGGAUGGUUGCUGGAGACCAUGGAAACAGAGCAAUAAAUAGUAUUUUCUCAAAGAAAUUUAGUGUUAGAAUUCACAAUAGGGAGUUCCCAUCGUAGCAUUCGUUUCCACUGCGCCAUGUCAGGACCUCCUCAACUCAGUUCUGACACUGUCCGUCUGGAAAUGUAUCCGAACGUUCCUCCUACUCCACCCCAUCCCCAGUUGAGAUGCUAGGCACAAAACCAGGUUAUUGCCUGUGCUUCUGACUGCAUGGCUCUAGGUUGAAGGUGCCAAUGAUCCCCUCACUGGGCUCAAUUAAUUUGCUAGAGUGGCGCACAGAACUCACAGAAACAUUUUACCGACUAGAUCACUGGUUUAUUGUAAAAGAAUAUAGUAGAGGAACAACCAGGUGGGAGAGAUGCUGAAGGCCUGGGGAAAAGGUGUGGCGUUUCCAUGCUCUCUCUAGGAGCCUGACUCUCUUCCAUCCUCACGUGUACACCAAUGUGAAAGAGCUCCAAACUCCUUCUUUUGGGGGGUUGUAUGAAUAGGCUGAUUGAUUAAAUCACUGGCCAUUGGGUAACUGUUUCAACCUCCACUUCCAUCCCUGAAAUCAGAAGGUGGGACAGAAAUUCAACCCUGUAUUCAAGGUUGGUUCCCCUGGCAGCCAGCCCCAUCCUUUCUUUCCUUUGGGCUUGCCUAACUUCAUUGACACAACAAAAGACAUCUUUAUUGCUCGCCUCUCUUAGGGAAUUCCAGUGGUUUUAGGGACUCAGCCAGAAAUUGGAGGAAGACCAAAUGUGUAUUUCUUAUUAUAAAUCACAAUAUCACAGCAUCGUGUAAUUUAAUUUUAUCUUUAUAGAACAUGCUUUGAAAUAGGUAAUACAAUCCCCAUCUUAUAGAUAAAGAAAAUGAGAUUCAGCAAGUUUAGGUAAUUUGCCUGAUACCACAUAACCUGUAAGGAGUAAAAAAUAGAGCAAGAUUUGCUUGACUCCAAACCCUAGCAGAGUGAUUGCUCUAUUCUACUUUGAAGCAUUUAUAAUAGAGGCACCUCCAAAGAUAGUCUCACAGUGGAUGGAUGAAAUAUUUAUACUGUGAGGUUGAAAUUAUUUGAUGUAUUCAAUAAAAUGUAAAAUAAGUCAAUAUUAGAAGUCCUUUAUAUUCUGAUCUUUUCUAUCAACCUACCUGACAUUUGUUCCCUCCUAAACCUCUGAGGUUGCUCCUGCUGGGUGAGAACUCAUGACCUUUUGUACAGGUUGUAUGAUGUUUCUUUCCUUUGCUUUAACUUUUCCACACCCGCCCCCCUCAAUCCUUCAGAGUCCAAUAACCUCUCUUUUCUGCUUUUUGAUGCUUGAUCUGCUCACAUGUCUCCAUGUCCAUGAAUUCGUCUCACUUUCAUUGACUCACAAUGAAAUCUACAUGCUGUAGAUCCUAGUAGGAGAGUCAUUUUGGUGCUUUUAUACACAGGGCUUAAUAUUUAACUUUAAGUGUCUAUGUCCAUAUUGUUUUCGUUCUCCUUAUUGAACAUUUUAAAGACCAAGUUCUGUCAUGUCUUCUGUUUCUCUAUCAUAAUAACAAAAUAAUGGCAUACGGUACAUUCUAAAAUAAAUGCCUAUUUGAGUUGAAGAUACCAAUAAUAAAUAAUGCUGUAAAAUACAUGACUGUUUUUUUUAAAAAAACAAAACAGUGCUUGAUAAAUUAAUGCAUUUCUGUGAUCUACAGUCGUAAAUUUAAUGUGAUGGAAGAGGCUAAGGAAGUAGAGUAGAACAGGAAUUCUUUAUACAAGGGUCAACUCAGUCUGGAAAAAAAAAAAAAAAAA
rnacentral:lncRNA from 1 species